rnacentral:rRNA from 1 species
AACGAACGCUGGCGGCAGGCUUAACACAUGCAAGUCGAACGCGUGUAGCAAUACACGAGUGGCGCACGGGUGAGUAACGCGUGGAUAUCUGCCUUUUGGUUCGGAAUAACUCCGGGAACCUGGAGCUAAUAACGGAUGUUUCCUACGGGAUAAAGAUUUAUCGCCAAAAGAUGAGUCCGCGUACGAUUAGCUAGUUGGUGAGGUAAUGGCUCACCAAGGCGACGAUCGUUAGCUGGUCUGAGAGGACGAUCAGCCACACUGGGACUGAGACACUGCCCAGACUCCUACGGGAGGCAGCAGUGGGGAAUAUUGGACAAUGGGGGCAACCCUGAUCCAGCCAUGCCGCGUGAGCGAUGAAGGCCUUCGGGUUGUAAAGCUCUUUUGGCGGGGACGAUGAUGACGGUACCCGCAGAAUAAGCCCCGGCUAACUUCGUGCCAGCCGCCGCCGUAACAC